UGGACAGAUUAUUGUAUUCGAUUGUAUUUACGGCGUGAAAUAGGAGAUUACAUUGUUUUUAAAAGGGAAAGUGAAUCAAUUAACAUAAUAGACUCUU
rnacentral:pre_miRNA from 1 species